rnacentral:tRNA from 1 species
GCCUUCGUGGUAUAGUGGUCAGCACACAUGGCGCAUAUUCGAGAGGUCUGUGGUUCGAGUCCCAGUGAGGGCA